CCAGCAGCCGCGGUAAUUCCAGCUCCAAUAGCGUAUAUUUAAGUUGUUGCAGUUAAAAAGCUCGUAGUUGGAUUUCGGGUGGGGUGGUGCGGUCCGCCUCUGGUGUGCACUGCUCCGCUCCACCUUCCAGCCGGGGACGGGCUCCUGGGCUUCACUGUCUGGGACUCGGAGUCGGCGAGGUUACUUUGAGUAAAUUAGAGUGUUCAAAGCAGGCCUACGCUCUGAAUACAUUAGCAUGGAAUAACACGAUAGGACUCUGGCCUAUCUGUUGGUCUGUAGGACCGGAGUAAUGAUUAAGAGGGGUAGUCGGGGGCAUUUGUAUUCCGUUGUCAGAGGUGAAAUUCUUGGAUUUACGGAAGACAAACAUCUGCGAAAGCAUUUGCCAAGGAUACUUUCAUUGAUCAAGAACGAAAGU
rnacentral:rRNA from 1 species